ACGGCGAGUGAAGCGGCAAUAGCUCAAAUUUGAAAGCUGGCGCCUUUGGCGUCCGCGUUGUAAUUUGUAGAGGAUGCUUCGGCGAGGACUCCUGCCUAAGUCCCCUGGAACGGGGCGUCACAGAGGGUGAGAAUCCCGUACGUGGCGGGCGGUCCGAGCCAUGUGAAGCUCCUUCGACGAGUCGAGUUGUUUGGGAAUGCAGCUCUAAAUGGGAGGUAAAUUUCUUCUAAAGCUAAAUAUUGGCCAGAGACCGAUAGCGCACAAGUAGAGUGAUCGAAAGAUGAAAAGCACUUUGGAAAGAGAGUUAAAAAGUACGUGAAAUUGUUGAAAGGGAAGCGCUUGCAACCAGACUCGCUCGCAGUUGCUCAGCCGGCCUCUUGGCCGGUGUACUCUUCUGCGAUCGGGCCAGCAUCAGUUCGGGCGGCCGGAUAAAGGCGUCGGGAAUGUAGCACCCUUCGGGGUGUGUUAUAGCCCGGCGCGGAAUGCGGCCAGCCUGGACUGAGGAUCUCGCUUCGGCAAGGAUGCUGGCGUAAUGGUUGUAAGCGGCCCGUCUUGAAACACGGACCAAGGAGUCUAACAUCUAUGCGAGUGUUUGGGUGUCAAACCCAUACGCGUAAUGAAAGUGAACGGAGGUGGGAACCCCUCACGGGGCGCACCAUCGACCGAUCCUGAUGUCUUCGGAUGGAUUUGAGUAAGAGCAUAGCUGUUGGGACCCGAAAGAUGGUGAACUAUGCCUGAAUAGGGUGAAGCCAGAGGAAACUCUGGUGGAGGCUCGCAGCGGUUCUGACGUGCAAAUCGAUCGUCAAAUUUGGGUAUAGGGGCGAAAGACUAAUCG
rnacentral:rRNA from 1 species